rnacentral:rRNA from 1 species
GACGUAGGGCGCGAGCGUUGUCCGGAUUUAUUGGGCGUAAAGAGUGCGUAGGCGGUUUUUUAAGUUUGGUGUGAAAUCUCCCGGCUUAACUGGGAGGGUGCGCCGAAGACUGGAAGGCUUGAGUAUGGGAGAGGUAAGCGGAAUUCCUGGUGUAGCGGUGAAAUGCGUAGAUAUCAGGAGGAACACCUGCGGUGUAGACGGCUUACUGGACCAUCACUGACGCUGAGGCACGAAAGCGUGGGUAGCAAACAGG